rnacentral:lncRNA from 1 species
AAAACUUCAUCUCUUCGAUUGUCUCUCAAUUCUCUUGGAUCUUUGGUUGUCUGAAGUCCUACCAAUGUAGGCAAGAAGAUUGAGUUGCUUAGAGGUCAAAUCAAAGCAACUCAGUUGACACACCUUAAAAUUCAACUCCUCAUAUCUUUCUAUAUAUGUGGAGUUAGUUAAAAUUGAGGUUAGAUUCGUGAUGUACGCCAUUUUUUCU